rnacentral:misc_RNA from 1 species
GAUGAAGAACGUAGCGAAAUGCGAUAAGUAAUGUGAAUUGCAGAAUUCAGUGACUCAUCGAAUCUUUGAACGCACAUUGCGCCCCUUGGUAUUCCGAGGGGCAUGCCUAUUCGAGCGUCAUUAUCACCCCUCAAGCUCCGGCUUGGUGUUGAGGCCUGCUGUAAAGGCACCCUCUAAAAUCAGUGGCAGUGCUGUCAGGCUCUAAGCGUAGUAAUUCUCUCGCUACAGGGUCCCGGUGGACACUCGCCAGAACCCCCCCAUUUUUUAAUGAUUGACCUCGGAUUAGGUAGGGAUACCCGCUGAACUUAAGCAUAUCAAUAAGCGGAGGA